CUCUACGGGAGGCNGCAGUGGGGAAUAUUGCACAAUGGGCGAAAGNCUGAUGCAGCUAUGCCGCGUGUAUGAAGAAGGCCUUAGGGUUGUAAAGUACUUUCAACAAGAAAGAAAAGAUAAAAUUUAAUAAAUUUUAUCCUUGACGUUACUUGUAAAAGAAGCACCGGCUAACUCCGUGCCAGCAGCCGCGGUAAUACGGAGGGUGCAAGCGUUAAUCGGAAUUACUGGGCGUAAAGAGCACGUAGGCUGUUAAUUAAGUCAGGUGUGAAAUCCCUAAGCUUAACUUAGGAACUGCAUUUGAAACUGAUUAACUUGAGUUUCGUAGAGGGGGGUAGAAUUCCAGGUGUAGCGGUGAAAUGCGUAGAUAUCUGGAGGAAUACCAGUGGCGAAGGCGACCCCCUGGACGAAUACUGACGCUCAGGUGCGAAAGCAUGGGGAGCAAACAGGAUUAGAUACCCUGGUAGUCCAUGCCGUAAACGAUGUCGACUUGAAGGUUGUAAGCUUGACUUAUAGCUUUCGUAGCUAACGCGUUAAGUCGACCGCCUGGGGAGUACGACCGCAAGGUUAAAACUCAAAUGAAUUGACGGGGGCCCGCACAAGCGGUGGAGCAUGUGGUUUAAUUCGAUGCAACGCGAAAAACCUUACCUGGUCUUGACAUCCAUGGAAUUUAAUAGAGAUAUUUUAGUGCUUCGGGAACCAUGAGACAGGUGCUGCAUGGCUGUCGUCAGCUCGUGUUGUGAAAUGUUGGGUUAAGUCCCGCAACGAGCGCAACCCUUAUCCUUUGUUGCCAUCAGUUCGGCUGGGAACUCAAAGGAGACUGCCGGUGAUAAACCGGAGGAAGGUGAGGACGACGUCAAGUCAUCAUGGCCCUUACGACCAGGGCUACACACGUGCUACAAUGGUAUAUACAAAGGGAAGCAUCCUCGCAAGAGUAAGCGGAUCUCACAAAAUAUAUCUUAGUUCGGAUUGGAGUCUGCAACUCGACUCUAUGAAGUCGGAAUCGCUAGUAAUCGUAGAUCAGAAUGCUACGGUGAAUACGUUCCCGGGCCUUGUACACACCGCCCGUCACACCAUGGGAGUGGGUUGUAAAAGAAGUAAGUUGCUUAACCUUGUUUUUCCGAGGAGGGCGCUUACCACUUUAUGAUUCAUAACUGGGGUGAAGUCGUAACAANNNNNCCGUA
rnacentral:rRNA from 1 species